UGGGGAAUAUUGGGCAAUGGGGGAAACCCUGACCCAGCAACGCCGCGUGAAGGAAGAAGGCUUUCGGGUUGUAAACUUCUUUUACCAGGGACGAAGGACGUGACGGUACCUGGAGAAAAAGCAACGGCUAACUACGUGCCAGCAGCCGCGGUAAUACGUAGGUUGCAAGCGUUGUCCGGAUUUACUGGGUGUAAAGGGCGUGUAGGCGGAGAAGCAAGUUGGGAGUGAAAUCCAUGGGCUCAACCCAUGAACUGCUCUCAAAACUGUUUCCCUUGAGUAUCGGAGAGGCAAGCGGAAUUCCUAGUGUAGCGGUGAAAUGCGUAGAUAUUAGGAGGAACACCAGUGGCGAAGGCGGCUUGCUGGACGACAACUGACGCUGAGGCGCGAAAGCGUGGGGAGCAAACAGGAUUAGAUACC
rnacentral:rRNA from 1 species